CACAAAACAAAUCCCAUUAUUCAGAUCCUAUUUGCAUAUAGUUCAUGAUCACACUCACUCAGACACAAUGUGUCAAGAACUGACCUCUCCACAGAGACGGAUUUAGCUGCUCUUCUCAGUGGGGCCCCAUAUAUGCUUUCCUGAGAAGCAAUGACGGAAAUAGAGGAAUGAAAAAGAAGGGUAAGAAAAAAACAACAAAGAAAAAAGAAGGUGAGAAUUCCAUUUUGGUGGUAUUAAAAAGAGGUGAAGAGGCCCACCAUACCAUUGGUAAGUGCACACAGAUCCUGAGGAGCAGCUGUCUGGAUCGGAGUGGGUGCAGCUGCAAGAGGAUCCCAGCCAGGGCUCCCCUACCCCCACACCAGAGUCUCAGGCACACCUGCCCAAGCCAAAGGCUUCCCAGAAAAGAGCUGCACAGGUGCACAAGCUUCAGCCAGAGACCCGCCAUACCAUCUCCCACAGUCAAGGACUUGCUUGGAAAAGACCUACACAAGCACACAGGCAACAGCUAGAGGCUCACCCCGACAUGAUUGAUAAGUGCAUGGAGACCCUAGCCAGAAGCCUGCACAGACAACAGGAACUGGAGUGCACAUCCCAAAACCAAAGGACCUCCCAGACAACAGCUACAUAGAGGCCCCAGUGAAAGGCACACAUAGAUACCAUCCUAAGUGUGCACAGGCCCCAGCCAGAAGCCCACCCAGAAAACAAGUCAGCUCAGGGAUCCAGAAGGCCACCACUCUGAACCCAGGAAUUGGUGUACUGGUGAGCAGCAAAUUAAAGGCUGCUUGGUGGCUUGCUGAGAAUUGAAGACCACUCGGGGAGCAAAGAGUCACCUCAACAAAAGCACAGCAGGCUGCAUCUGUUGAAAUGAGAAGACAUGUAAAUAAGUCUCAAAACCAGACUUCCAGAUCAUCUAAGGCAAACCCAAAGGGCGACAAGAUGGAACAAUUUGAUACUCAAAAACCUGGACUCCCUAACUGGCAACAAAAGAGGACCUGGAAAAAAUGAAAUCAGAAAUAAUUUCUCAGAUAACAGCAGAGAUUGUGUCCAUAGUAGAAGGCAUGAUUAAUAAAACUGAAGCAGACACAGAUAAAAAAUAGAGGAGCUAAGGAACAUGAAGGAAUACCAAUGUAGGAAACAAGUGGAAUCCAUAAAACAGAUGCAAACAGAUUUCCAGGAGAUUAAAAACUCCAUUGAAAGUGUAAGCAGCAGAAUGAGCCAAUGUGAAGACAGAAUUUCAGAUAUAGAAGAUAGGAUUGCAAUUAAUGACCAAGAAAAAAAAAUUUCUUAAAAAUAGUAAUGAACCACAAGAAAUCAAUCCAGCACCUGG
ensembl:lncRNA